AACGAACGCUGGCGGCAUGCCUAACACAUGCAAGUCGAACGAGACCUUCGGGUCUAGUGGCGCACGGGUGCGUAACGCGUGAGAACCUGCCCUUAGGUUCGGAAUAACUCCCCGAAAGGGGUGCUAAUACCGGAUAAUGUCGUCGGACCAAAGAUUUAUCGCCUUUGGAUGGGCCCGCGUUGGAUUAGCUAGUUGGUAGGGUAAAAGCCUACCAAGGCGACGAUCCAUAGCUGGUCUGAGAGGAUGAUCAGCCACACUGGGACUGAGACACGGCACAGACUCCUACGGGAGGCAGCAGUGGGGAAUAUUGGACAAUGGGCGAAAGCCUGAUCCAGCAACGCCGCGUGAGUGAUGAAGGCCUUAGGGUUGUAAAGCUCUUUUACCCGGGAUGAUAAUGACAGUACCGGGAGAAUAAGCUCCGGCUAACUCCGUG
rnacentral:rRNA from 1 species